rnacentral:tRNA from 1 species
GCCGGCAUAGCUCAGCUGGUAGAGCAUCCGCCUUGUAAGCGGGAGGUCGCGGGUUCAAGUCCUGCUGCCGGCACCA